rnacentral:rRNA from 1 species
CACCGCGGUUAUACGAGGGGCUCAAGUUGACAGACAACGGCGUAAAGCGUGGUUAAGGAAAAUAUUCAACUAAAGCGGAACCUCCUCACAGCUGUUAUACGCUUCCGAGGAAGUGAACCCCAACUACGAAAGUGGCUUUACCCUACCUGAACCCACGAAAGCUAAGAAACAAACUGGGAUUAGAUACCCCACUAUGCUUAGCCCUAAACAUCGAUCGUUUACUACAUCAAACAUCCGCCUGGGAAUUACGAACAUUAGUUUAAAACCCAAAGGACUUGGCGGUGCUUAAUAUCCACCUAGAGGAGCCUGUUCUAGAACCGAUAAUCCCCGUUCAACCUCACCCCCCCUAGCUUUUUCCGCCUAUAUACCACCGUCGCCAGCUUACCCUGUGAAGGGCUAAUAGUAAGCAUAAUCGGCACAGCCCAAAACGUCAGGUCGAGGUGUAGUGCAUGGGAGGGGAAGAAAUGGGCUACAUUCGCUGCUUUCCAGCGAACACGAACGAUGCAUUGAAACAUGCAACUGAAGGAGGAUUUAGCAGUAAGCAGAAAGUAGAGUGUUCCGCUGAAGCCGGCUCUUAAGCGCGCACACACCGCCCGUCACCCUCCCCAAGCAACUGGACCCGAAUUUUUCCUAAGCCUAAACAACCGCAAAGGAGAGGAAAGUCGUAA